AUGAAAUGGUUGGUAAGGGGUUCUCUGCAAAUGCCAGCAGCACGGAAUUGGUAGUAAAUUUAAUUUCGAGCGAGAAAGAUUCCGCUUUUACAAAAGUUGCUAAGCGGCUCUAAACGUUCUCAAGGUAUACAUUCAAGUUAUGGAUUUUCCAUAAGAAGAUCCUUCGGUCCUGAAACCUGCUUGAUCUUUUGUUCCUGGCAAUGGACGUUUCCUUUGCCUAUAAUUUGGAGAAAACUCACUAAGUAGCUUGUGUUCUGUUUAAACUGUGUUGUUCAUUAAACAGACAAGCGGUAAAUGCAUUGUUUCAAUUUCCAAUUAACUUCCAUCUCAGCAGGACAGAAAAAGUUCAAAUUCUGCAGAUGCGAUCUACUCCUUUCGAAGCAAACAGGAAAAGUGAGAGAUGGAAAUCCUAGUACAAAAAAUUAAUCUCCUGCACAUUACACGAAGGUGAGGAUCCUUCUUUCAGCUGUUGAUAUUCAAAUUUCAAGCUUAUCAAAUAAUUUUCAGAGGUCCUUUUCUGCAACAAAAAAAACCAAAAUCAGGCAAUAUAUGAAAAGUGAGAUAAUUGUCUUGUGAUGCCA